rnacentral:lncRNA from 1 species
CCAACACCUUUUCAUUCAGUACUUGUGAAGAAUUUUCAGAGAUUGUGUCAUGAACUGUGCUUCAGAUUCAGAACACGUGACAAUUGGUGAUGUUAUAAGUGGUAAUUCCGCUUUCUGUAUUGCUCUGGUAUUGAUGUGUCACUACCAGUGUGUGUGGAGGAGAGUGCAGUGGAAUUCGUCUUAGUGUUUCAGUUCUAGUAGAGAUCCUAAUUCAAGUGCUACCACAGAAUUUAUCACACUUGUUGGUUUUCCUUUCCUGUUCUGUUGUUGUUAAUAUAUUUUGACAGUUCCUACCACUAGAGCAGACAGGACAGGUCGUUAGGCUGUAUUUCUGAUUGGGAAUGUAAACCUAGGGAAGCGAGUUAAACCAUCCAGGAUCUGUAUCCCAUUGUUAACAGGCCUUACCAUUUUGGAUCUCAGUUGAUCUCUCUCGAGAUUCAACUUCCUUGUAUGUGAAAUGUAAUUAGACUAGGG